AUUUGUAUUCUUUAACAGGUAGGGAUAAAUUAUAUUUAUUACUUUGUCAAUUUAGUUUAAAUU
rnacentral:tRNA from 1 species